rnacentral:rRNA from 1 species
UACGUAGGGUGCAAGCGUUGUCCGGAAUUAUUGGGCGUAAAGAGCUCGUAGGCGGUCUGUCGCGUCGGCUGUGAAAACUCGGGGCUCAACUCCGAGCUUGCAGUCGAUACGGGCAGGCUAGAGUUCGGCAGGGGAGACUGGAAUUCCUGGUGUAGCGGUGAAAUGCGCAGAUAUCAGGAGGAACACCGGUGGCGAAGGCGGGUCUCUGGGCCGAUACUGAGGCUGAGGAGCGAAAGCGUGGGGAGCGAACAGG